ensembl:lncRNA
ACUCAGAAGGCUCUGCAAAUGCAGCAACACAACAUGGAGGAACUGAAGACAGAGCUUUCAAUGCAUGAUGAUUGUGUUCAUCAGUGGGUUUCAGAUGGGCAGAAGAAAGUGACCGACAUGGGAGUGGUCAUAGACUGUUAGAAUAGAAGGUCUAACAGUCAGCAUCAAAAGGUGUACACAGCGUCUGUACAGUCAAACAGGUGAAACACAAACAUGAGGUGUUACAUUAUAUAUGUUUUUUUUUUUUUGAGUAGCUAAAAGAGUGCUGUAAUGCCUAAAAAUAAUAAUAAAAACAAAAGCAAAAAGCGGCGCCAUUCUUUGCUCCUCAGAAGGAGUGAAGAGAAGAAGAAACUAGUUGCUGCAGUGGAAGAAUACAACAGCAUAGCAGAUCCAUCCCAGAAGCUUGGCUCAGUUGAAGACUUCUUCACAGCUGAAACUGUUGCUUGGCCUUGGCAAAUCCCUAGCAGUACUGAAUCGGCUCCAUUUCUCCCCAAGAGGAAGGUGUUUGACAAGGUGAUGGCAGUGAGACACCUUCAGGAAGAGAGAGGUCUAAUUUGUAAGGAGAUGAAACAGCACUGGACGGUCAUGACACAGAUGAUGUCCAAAAACAGCACUGGACGGUCAUGACACAGAUGAUGUCCAAAUUCGUAGCACUGAUUAAUGAAAUAAGUUCAAAAUGUAAAAGUCUUUAAGCAUUCAUUUAUUUAGCAAUUGAUGUGUAGAAUUUUAUUUUUUGAUAAUGUUUCCUUUUGUUUUUCAGCUCUUUUUCACAGCUCUUUUUUUAUCCAAAAAAAAUGUGGAAUGUGAAUCAGACUUUGCCUUUAAAUGUCACAUAGAGCAAUUAGAUCAGAAGGCUUGUUUGUCUGUCGGUGUUCAUUGUGUCAACUGUUCUGUAACUACUCGAUGCCAGUGUGUCUUUGAACAAUAACCUAAUAAAUU